AAAACAGCAAUGAUGGAAACAAGAUAAAUAAGGAUGUCAAAGUGGAAGAAAUAACUAAAACAGGUAGUUUCUUAAUCUUGUAUGUGCACUGUUUGCCUUUUUAUCCUCUGCAUAAGAAAUUACAGGGUAUAUGAUUUUACAUCUUCCAGUCUUGAAGUUUAAAUCAGAGUAAAAAAAAACUGGCCUAGUACCGGAUGAAUUUGUCUUUUUAUUUGAAUUUAUCUAUAAUCUAUGUUUAUCUUGUUAGUCAUUUUUAUGUUGUUAUUAUCUUAUCGUUUGUAUUGACUUUUGCUAAUAAGUUAUUUGAACUGACUCAUACUUGAGUUUGGUCAAUCUUUAUCAUUCCAAACUUCUACACCGAUUAGAUGCAUAAGCUUGGUCCAAACAAGCAAUAGUCCUGAAGGACUUAUCUCAGUAAUAUUGAAGGAAGAAGAAAGAAAGAAAAGAAGGAAAUAUUAAUUUACUUUUCUUUUUAUUACAGAUUUCAUCUUCACAAAGUAAAUAGAGGAAGCUAGCCAUCUUUUGCAGUGAAGGGAAACAGUAAAAUUAUUUUUAUAAAGUUUUGGAGUCAAGCAAGUAUUGCUGAAAGUGGUGACCACAAUUUGAAUAUGGUCACAGCAUAUCCUUUUCUUUAAUCUCUUAAGGCUUAAAGAGACAUAUUUGACUCUUCCUUAAUCUGUUUCUCAGUCUUUGUUCAGAUACGGGAAGAGAUGUGCUCCCUGAUCACUGUAGUUAUGUAUUACUGUAAAAUCCCAUGCAACAGAAAU
rnacentral:lncRNA from 1 species